AUUGAACGCUGGCGGCAGGCCUAACACAUGCAAGUCGAGCGAGCGGCGGACGGGUGAGUAAUGUAUGGGGACUGCCCGAUAGAGGGGGAUAACUACUGGAAACGGUGGCGAAUACCGUCUUCUGUGGGAUAACCCAGAGGGGAUUAGCUAGUAGGUAAGGUAAUGGCUUACCUAGGCGACGAUCCCUAGCUGGCCUGAGAGGAUGAUCAGCCAAACUGGGACUGAGACACGGCCCAGACUCCUACGGAGGCAGCAGUGGGGAAUCUUGGACAAUGGGCGCAAGCCUGAUGCAGCCAUGCCGCGUGUAUGAAGAAGGCCCUAGGGUUGUAAAGUACUUUCAGUAGGGAGGCGUUACCGACAGAAGAAGCACCGGCUAACUCCGUGCCAGCAGCCGCGGUAAUAC
rnacentral:rRNA from 1 species